rnacentral:rRNA from 1 species
AGUGAACGCUGGCGGCAGGCCUAAUACAUGCAAGUCGAACGGCAGCACAGUGGAGCUUGCUCCAUGGGUGGCGAGUGGCGGACGGGUGAGGAAUACAUGGGAAUCUGCCCAGUCGUGGGGGAUAACGUAUGGAAACGUACGCUAAUACCGCAUGCGCCCUUCGGGGAAAGUCGGGGACCGCAAGGCCUGACGCGAUUGGAUGAGCCCAUGUUCGAUUAGCUAGUUGGCGGGGUAACGGCCCACCAAGGCGACGAUCGAUAGCUGGUCUGAGAGGAUGAUCAGCCACACUGGAACUGAGACACGGUCCAGACUCCUACGGGAGGCAGCAGUAGGGAAUAUUGGACAAUGGGCGCAAGCCUGAUCCAGCCACGCCGCGUCGAGUGAAGAAGGCCCUCGGGUUGUAAAGCUCUUUGUUGGG